CCUACGGGUGGCAGCAGUGGGGAAUAUUGGACAAUGGGCGAAAGCCUGAUCCAGCCAUGCUGCGUGUGUGAAGAAGGCCUUCGGGUUGUAAAGCACUUUCAGUGGGGAAGAAAGCCUUGGGGCUAAUACCCUCGAGGAAGGACAUCACCCACAGAAGAAGCACCGGCUAACUCCGUGCCAGCAGCCGCGGUAAUACGGAGGGUGCGAGCGUUAAUCGGAAUUACUGGGCGUAAAGCGCGCGUAGGCGGUCUGAUAAGCCGGUUGUGAAAGCCCCGGGCUCAACCUGGGAACGGCAUCCGGAACUGUCAGGCUAGAGUGCAGGAGAGGAAGGUAGAAUUCCCGGUGUAGCGGUGAAAUGCGUAGAGAUCGGGAGGAAUACCAGUGGCGAAGGCGGCCUUCUGGACUGACACUGACGCUGAGGUGCGAAAGCGUGGGUAGCAAACAGGAUUAGAUACCCUGGUAGUC
rnacentral:rRNA from 1 species